GGCUGCACCCACGGCAUAUGGAGAUUCCCAGGCUACGAUCUAACUCAGCUGUAGCUGCCAGCCUACGCCAGAGCCACAGCAAUGGCAGAGCCGAGCCACAUCUGCAACCUACACCACAGCUCACAGCAAUUCCAGAUCCUUAACCCACUGAGCGAGGCCAGGGAUCGAGCCCGCAACGUCAUGGUUCCUAGUCGGAUUUGUUAACCACUAAACCACGAUGGGAACUCCAAAUCUUAUUACUAAUAAAAUAACAGUAAAACAAAUGCAUGUGGCACACUUCUUAUUAGCAACGAUGUUCAGGUCCAAAUAUUUUUCCAGUUUCACAAUUUUUAAAAAUUGGUUAUUUUAUCAGAAGAUUCUAGAGUUCCCCAAGAAGCUAAGCCUGGGUCAAAUUCUCCAUGAGAGUGAUGAUAAUUAUCACAUGCAGAACGCUAAAUCCAGGCAUGAAAAGAGGCAAAUAUUGCCUCGAUGGCUUUUAGCCACACAAGUAUCAGCUUCACUGUUCUGUCUCUUCAUCUGUAAGAUUACUGGGUUGUCAUAAGAAUUGAAUAAGGGAAUAAAACAGUUAAAACAGUACCAGGAACAGAGGAAGAACUCAGGGAUCUUCUUUGAUAGAUUGCUCCCUCUCCACUUAAUUGAAAUGCUAAUAGGUUAAUUACAACCAAAACUGUGAAGUUCAGAACAUGUAUUCCUUCAAAUAUUGUCCAUAUUUGACCAUCUUUUAAAGACUUCAAAUGCAACACAUUCUAUAACAAACAUAAAAUCUAAUCACUUUCUAAUCUUCCCCUUGUAUUCUCUAGCUCUAGGUAUAUUCCUAUUUUUUUUAUAGCUAAAUAGGGUUGAUUUAAAAAAAAAUCUAUUUCCUUGACUCAUUCCACUUUCCUUAUUCUUCAAGCCUUAGAACCAUUUAGCCUGGGUUUCUAAGUUAUCCCUCAGCUUGUGGUCCCUCUCUGAUAACAAUCCUCACAGUACCAUACACAAUAAUCUUUCUAAAAGAAAUAAUCUGAUCAAGUAACUUUUUACUUAAAAUCCUUCAAUAGUUUCCAUGACAAUUCAAGAUAAAAUCUGACGUCCUCCGUAUGCCAUAGAAGGUUCUCUUGCUUUUUUCUUAAAUUUUUAUUAUACUUGAUUUACAAUGUUCUGUCAGUUUCUGCUGUACAGCAAAGUGACCCCGUUAUACAUUUAUGUACAUUCUUAUGCCUUGUUGUUUAAUGCAAACUCAUUUUUGGACUAAAUGUCAAACUUGGAUGCUUAUAGUUUACCUAUGAUUUAUGUCUUUAUUAUAUUUAUUAUACUAUACUUAUAGUCCAUAUUUAUCUGUUUGACUCCUCCUAAGAUGCUCAGAUUCUUAAGG
rnacentral:lncRNA from 1 species